ACACCGUGGCCGAUGCUCUAAGCC
rnacentral:siRNA from 1 species